rnacentral:rRNA from 1 species
AGGGUUCGAUUAUGGCUCAGAACGUACGCUGGCGGCACGCCUUAUACAUGCAAGUCGAACGAAGUAGCAAUACUUAGUGGCAGACGGGUGAGUAACAUGUGGGUAUCUUCCCUUUGGUGAGGAAUAACACGAGGAAACUUGUGCUAAUACCUCAUAAGUCUUUACGGAGAAAGCUUUAUGCGCCAAUGGAUGAGCCCGCACUUGAUUAGUUUGUUGGUGGGGUAACGGCCUACCAAGACGUUGAUCAAUAGCUGAUCUGAGAGGAUGAUCAGCCACAUUGGGACUGAGACACGGCCCAAACUCCUACGGGAGGCAGCAGUAGGGAAUAUUGCACAAUGGAGGAAACUCUGAUGCAGCGAUGCCGCGUGAGUGAAGAAGGCCUUUGGGUUGUAAAGCUCUUUCGUCGGGGAAGAAAAUGACUGUACCCGAAUAAGAAGGUCCGGCUAACUUCGUGCCAGCAGCCGCGGUAAUAC